UUCGGAAUAACAGUUAGAAAUGACUGCUAAUACCGGAUAAUGUCUUCGGACCAAAGAUUUAUCGCCUUUUGAUGGGCCCGCGUUAGAUUAGCUAGUUGGUGAGGUAACUGCUCACCAAGGCGACGAUCUAUAGCUGGUCUGAGAGGAUGAUCAGCCACACUGGGACUGAGACACGGCCCAGACUCCUACGGGAGGCAGCAGUGGGGAAUAUUGGACAAUGGGCGAAAGCCUGAUCCAGCAAUGCCGCGUGAGUGAUGAAGGCCUUAGGGUUGUAAACUUCUUUUCUGAGGGAGCAUAAUGAGAGUACCUCAGGAAUAAGGGACGGCUAAUUACGUGCCAGCAGCCGCGGUAAUACGUAAGUCCCAAGCGUUACUCGAAAUUACUGGGUGUAAAGCGUUUGUAGGCGGAUAAAAAAGCCAGAUGUGAAAGACCGAGGCUCAACCUCGUGUUUGUAUUUGAAACUCUUUAUCUAGAAUCAGGGAGGGGUAAGCGGAAUUCUAAGUGUAGGGGUGCAAUCCGUAGAUACUUAGAAGAACACCAAAAGCGAAGGCAGCUUACUGGAACUCGAUUGACGCUGAGAAACGAAAGCGUGGGGAGCAAAGAGGAUUAGAUACCCUCGUAGUCCACGCCGUAAACGAUGGUAACUAAGUGUUGCACGUUGGUGCAGUGCUGUAGCUAACGCGUUAAGUUACCCACCUGAGGAGUACGGUCGCAAGAUUAAAACUCAAAGGAAUAGACGGGGACCCACACAAGCAGUGGAUCAUGUGGUUUAAUUCGACAAUAAACGGGGAAUCUUACCCAGGCUUGACAUCCUAGGAAUCUUUCAGAAAUGAGAGAGUGCUUUUAUUAGAACCUAGUGACAGGUGCUGCAUGGUUGUCGUCAGCUCGUGCCUUGAGGUGUUCGGUUAAGUCCGUUAACGAGCGCAACCCAUGUCUUUAGUUAUUAUGUCUAAAGAGACUGCCUUGGUUAACAAGGAGGAAGGUGUGGAUGACGUCAAAUCAGCAUGGCUUUUACGCCUGGGGCUACACACAUGAUACAAUGGUACGUACAAAGAGCAGCAAUGUCGCGAGAUGGAGCUAAUCUAUAAAGCGUAUCUCAGUCCGGAUUGGAGUCUGAAACUCGACUCCAUGAAGUUGGAAUUGCUAGUAAUCGUGAAUCAGAUAUGUCACGGUGAAUAUGUUCCUGGGUCUUGU
rnacentral:rRNA from 1 species